UACGUAGGGUGCAAGCGUUAAUCGGAAUUACUGGGCGUAAAGCGUGCGCAGGCGGUUGUGCAAGGCCGCUGUGAAAUCCCCGGGCUUAACCUGGGAACUGCAUUUGUGACUGGCGGGCUAGAGUAUGGCAGAGGGGGGUAGAAUUCCACGUGUAGCAGUGAAAUGCGUAGAGAUGUGGAGGAAUACCGAUGGCGAAGGCAGCCCCCUGGGCCAAUACUGACGCUCAUGCACGAAAGCGUGGGGAGCAAACAGG
rnacentral:rRNA from 1 species